rnacentral:rRNA from 1 species
UGAACGCUGGCGGCGUGCUUAACACAUGCAAGUCGUACGAGAACUCUUUAGCUUGCUAAAGAUAGUAAAGUGGCGCACGGGUGAGUAACGCGUGGGAAAUCUACCUCCGAAUCGGGGAUAACCCGUCGAAAGGUGAGCUAAUACCGGAUGAUAUCCCAAAAACUCCUGUUUUUGGGAUCAAAGGUGGCCUCUACAUGUAAGCUACUGUUUGGAGAUGAGCCCGCGUACCAUUAGCUUGUUGGUAGGGUAAUGGCCUACCAAGGCAACGAUGGUUAGCUGGUCUGAGAGGAUGAUCAGCCACACUGGAACUGACACACGGUCCAGACUCCUACGGGAGGCAGCAGUGGGGAAUUUUGCGCAAUGGGGGAAACCCUGACGCAGCAACGCCGCGUGAGUGAUGAAGGCUUUCGGGUCGUAAAGCUCUGUCAAGUGGGAAGAACAUGAUCGAUGAUAAUACCAUUGUUCAUUGACGGUACCACUAAAGGAAGCACCGGCUAACUCC